AGGUACGGGGAACUGAGCCCGCGCCGGAAGUGGCACGGGAGGUGCACUGUCCUUCCCCCUCUGCAUCCCUCUCACGCGACCCCAGCCGGGGUCAUAGGUAUCCUGAACUGAAAGAAAUGAAGAAAAGAAACUUAAAGGGGCAAAAGCAAUGAAAUGGUUCUAAAAGAAAAAACAACUUAGUUGAGUUGCUGCAGAAAGUAAGAAGAGUGUGCUGGACGGCGACGUUUCGACCUAAGUCAGAGCAGGAGUGACGGACUCUACUGCUGCUGCCUCCUUUUAUCUCCUCCCCCGGCACCCCACGCAGCUAAGCCCUCCCCCCUGCUACGUCUCCC